rnacentral:lncRNA from 1 species
UAACAAAUGUCAAAAACUAUUUUUUUUUAAAAUUUUAAGACCUAUAUAAAUUAUAGAGAAUAAAUGAAAACCUAUGAAUGAAACCUCAUUCAAGAGAGAUGAAGUGUCGGUGUCGGGAUUAACAUAAACCAAAUAACGAUAACUAGUUUUCAAAUGUCAAUAAGGUUAUGAAAUGUCAACCAAUGAAAACUAAUUAACCAAAGGUGGCCUUGAAAGGUAAAACGUCAAGUGUCAAGAGUAUCAUAUAUGAAAUGUCAAGAACUAAUUUUCGGCCUCCAAAAAAGAGAUGAGUGGAUGUAUUUAAUUCAUUGUUUUGGUUUUUGCAUUUUUCUAUUUGAGUUUAUAUUGUUGUGUUAG